rnacentral:tRNA from 2 species
GGUAGAAUGGCUGAGUUUAGGUGAUAGACUGUAAAUCUAUUUAGGAGGGUUACCCCUCUUCUACCA